GUGGUAGCUGGCUAGUAACAGUCACUAAGGUUCAGGGCAGGGUACUGGGUGGAGGCAGGCUAGUAACAGUCACUAAGGUUCAGGGCAGGGUACUGGGUGGAGGCUGGCUAGUAACAGUCACUAAGGUUCAGGGCAGGGUACUGGGUGGAGGCCGGCUAGUAACAGUCACUAAGGUUCAGGGCAGGGUACUGGGUGGAGGCUAGUAACAGUCACUAAGGUUCAGGGCAGGGUACUGGGUGGAGGCUGGCUAGUAACAGUCACUAAGGUUCAGGGCAGGGUACUGGGUGGAGGCUGGCUAGUAACAGUCACUAAGGUUCAGGGCAGGGUACUGGGUGGAGGCUGGCUAGUAACAGUGACUAAGGUUCAGGGCAGGGUACUGGGUGGAGGCAGGCUAGUAACAGUCACUAAGGUUCAGGGCAGGGUACUGGGUGGAGGCAGGCUAGUAACAGUCACUAAGGUUCAGGGCAGGGUACUGGGUGGAGGCUGGCUAGUAACAGUGACUAAGGUUCAGGGCAGGGUACUGGGUGGAGGCAGGCUAGUAACAGU
rnacentral:lncRNA from 1 species